rnacentral:rRNA from 1 species
CGCCAGCCCGCUCAGAAACUCAAAUGAAUUGACGGGGGCCCGCACAAGCGGUGGAGUAUGUGGUUUAAUCGAUGCAACGCGAAGAACCUUACCUGGUCUUGACAUCCCGGAGACCCUUAGGAAACUAGGGGGUGCUUCCAUCUGGAAGAAUCUGGAGACAGGUGCUGCAUGGCUGUCGUCAGCUCGUGUCGUGAGAUGUUGGGUUAAGUCCCGCAACGAGCGCAACCCUUGCCUUUAGUUGCCAGCAGUUCGGCUGGGCACUCUAAAGGGACUGCCGGUGUUAAACCGGAGGAAGGUGGGGAUGACGUCAAGUCCUCAUGGCCUUUAUGACCAGGGCUACACACGUACUACAAUGGCCGAUACAAAGGGCAGCGACACUGCGAGGUGAAGCCAAUCCCGUAAAAUCGGUCUCAGUCCGGAUUGGAGUCUGCAACUCGACUCCAUGAAGUUGGAAUCGCUAGUAAUCGUGGAUCAGCAUGCCACGGUGAAUACGUUCCCGGGCCUU